rnacentral:lncRNA from 1 species
GCGGCAGUACAUUGAGCUCCAUAGAGACAGCGCCGGGGCAAGCGAGAGCCGGACGGGCACUGGGCGACUCUGUGCCUCGCGGAGGAAAAUCAACUAAACAUGGGCAAAGGAGAUCCUAAGAAGCCGAGAGGCAAAAUGUCCUCAUAUGCAUUCUUUGUGCAAACCUGCCGGGAGGAGCACAAGAAGAAGCACCCGGAUGCUUCUGUCAACUUCUCAGAGGUCUCCAAGAAGUGCUCAGAGAGGUGGAAGACCAUGUCUGCUAAAGAAAAGGGGAAAUUUGAAGAUAUGGCAAAGGCUGACAAGGCUCGUUAUGAAAGAGAAAUGAAAACCUACAUCCCCCCCAAAGGGGAGACCAAAAAGAAGUUCAAGGACCCCAAUGCCCCCAAGAGGCCUCCUUCGGCCUUCUUCUUGUUCUGUUCUGAGUACCGCCCAAAAAUCAAAGGCGAGCAUCCUGGCUUAUCCAUUGGUGAUGUUGCGAAGAAACUAGGAGAGAUGUGGAACAACACUGCCUCGGAUGACAAGCAGCCCUAUGAAAAGAAGGCCGCCAAGCUGAAGGAGAAGUAUGAGAAGGAUACAGCUGCCUACAGAGCUAAAGGAAAACCUGAUGCAGCGAAAAAGGGGGUGGUCAAGGCUGAGAAGAGCAAGAAAAAGAAGGAAGAGGAAGACGACGAGGAGGAUGAAGAGGAUGAGGAAGAGGAGGAAGAAGAGGAAGACGAAGAUGAAGAAGAAGAUGAUGAUGAAUAAGUUGUUCUAGCGCAGUUUUUUUUCUUGUCUAUAAAGCAUUUAACCCCCCUGUACACAACUCACUCCUUUUAAAGAAAAAAAUUGAAAUGUAAAAAAAAAAAAAAAAAAAA